AUGCAGCAGAGUGGAACUUCUCUUUCGUCGCGUGUUAUCGGAAACAUAGAAUGAGACAAGUCAAGCAACAUGGCUGCGCCCACGGGACCGAGAGGAACAACCACAACUAACCCGACCGUGUUUGAAGGUUUCCCUUUUAGUAUGACAGGCAGACCACCAGAGGACACUCCCGGUAAAGAACAGGAGAAGACAAGUGAACCGAAAAAGAAGCCGUGUAGGGCAUGUACGGACUUCAAGUCGUGGAUGAAGGUUCAGAAAAAACAGACAGCAGUUGUGACACAGGAGUCCCACUCUGGGGAACCUCAGCACCCUCAGACGGAUCCAGAGUGUCCGUUAGACAGGGAGGAGUUAGGCCGAAACACCUGGUCUUUCCUGCACACAAUGGCUGCCUAUUACCCUGACCAUCCCUCCUCCACCCAGCAGACAGAGAUGGGCCAGUUCAUUUCCCUCUUCUCCAAGUUCUUCCCUUGUGAUGAGUGUGCUACAGACCUCAGGACCAGACUAAAGACCAAUCAGCCUGACGCCAGCAGUCGCCACAGCCUAUCCCAGUGGCUCUGUCGCCUCCACAACGGCGUCAAUGUUCGGCUGGGCAAGCCUGAGUUUGACUGUUCCCGUGUGGACGAGAGGUGGAAGGAUGGGUGGAAGGAUGGGUCCUGUGAUUGAUAUGGACAGAGAGAUAAAUAUGUCAUCAUUAAAUUACACUUGUUUUCUUGUAAACAAGUGUAUGUGUGUCAAGAGUAGUGAUCUUUAAUUAGAAAGAACUGUGAGGAAAUAGUCAGACCGUGAUAUACACUAGGUGACUAAACACCAGCAGUGUCUUGGUCACAAUUAUUAUAUGUAUAGUUAUGCUGUUAUGUUUGUUAAAAUGGUCUACGUAUUGUAUAUAUGGAUGGGAAAAUAUAUUGAAAAUACUUGCACAUAUAUUUCUUAAAUAAGGAAGAUUUGAGUGAUCAGAUAUAGAUAUCAGUCAUAUUUUAAUACCAUACUUUAAUUUAGCCCGUGUUUGAGUUUGUGUGUUUAAGUUCUCCUGCACUACUUAUGAGGAUAUGUGUGUGUGGAGGGAUAUGAUGAGAGAAGCCUGGUGACACAAACAUCCUCAAAAUGCUUCCUUCCCUUGUUCCCUCCUUCCUUGUUCCCUAAAAUGUCACCAGUGACACGGUGACAUUGGUUUAUUUCAUCUUGUUAGAAUUAUUUGAAAGAAAUCCAUAAUGUUUUCAGCUUGUGCCCUUAUUUAAUCAAUGAUUUAUUUAAUAAAUGACAGAAACCUC